rnacentral:rRNA from 1 species
CUCAUUAAACCAGUUAUAGUUUAUUUGAUGGUCUCUUUGUUCUUCUUUUUUACCUACUUGGAUAACCGUGGUAAUUCUAGAGCUAAUACAUGCGCAAGGUCCCGAGCGCGGAGGGGUAGGGGCUUCACGGUUCUAUUCUUGCAUGCGCAGAGGGAUGUAUUUAUUAGGUUAAACAACCAGCAUUUUCAAUCAUCUGGUGAUUCAUAGUAACUCUUUCGGAUCGCAUUCAUG